UACGGGGGGGGCAAGCGUUGUUCGGAAUUACUGGGCGUAAAGCGUGCGCAGGCGGUUUUGUAAGCCAGGUGUGAAAUCCCCGGGCUCAACCUGGGAAUGGCAUUUGGGACUGCAAGGCUGGAGUGCGGCAGAGGAGACUGGAAUUCCUGGUGUAGCAGUGAAAUGCGUAGAUAUCAGGAGGAAUACCGAUGGCGAAGGCAGGUCUCUGGGCUGACACUGACGCUCAUGCACGAAAGCGUGGGGAGCAAACAGG
rnacentral:rRNA from 1 species